rnacentral:rRNA from 1 species
UACGUAGGGGGCAAGCGUUGUCCGGAAUCAUUGGGCGUAAAGCGCGUGUAGGCGGCCCGAUAAGUCCGCUGUGAAAGUCCAGGGCUCAACCCUGGGAUGCCGGUGGAUACUGUCGGGCUCGAGUCCGGAAGAGGCGAGUGGAAUUCCUGGUGUAGCGGUGAAAUGCGCAGAUAUCAGGAGGAACACCAAUUGCGAAGGCAGCUCGCUGGGACGUAACUGACGCUGAGACGCGAAAGCGUGGGGAGCAAACAGG